rnacentral:rRNA from 1 species
AGAGUUUGAUCCUGGCUCAGAUUGAACGCUGGCGGCGUGCUUAACACAUGCAAGUCGUGCGAGAAAGGGGCUUCGGCCCUGAGUAGAGCGGCGCACGGGUGAGUAACGCGUGGAUGAUCUGCCCCCGAGUUCGGGAUAACAGCGGGAAACUGCUGCUAAUACCGGGUAAGACCUACGGGUGAGAGGCGGCCUCUUCAUGAAAGCCGUCGCUCGGGGAUGAGUCCGCGUCCCAUUAGCUUGUUGGCGGGGUAACGGCCCACCAAGGCGACGAUGGGUAGCUGGUCUGAGAGGAUGAUCAGCCACACUGGAACUGAAACACGGUCCAGACUCCUACGGGAGGCAGCAGUGGGGAAUAUUGCGCAAUGGGGGAAACCCUGACGCAGCGACGCCGUGUGAGGGAAGAAGGCCUUCGGGUCGUAAACCUCUGUCAGGAGGGAAGAACCGCUGAAGGGUUAACAGCCCUUCGGCCUGACGGUACCUCCAGAGGAAGCGCCGGCUAACUCCGUGCCAGCAGCCGCGGUAAUGCGGAGGGCGCGAGCGUUAAUCGGAAUCACUGGGCGUAAAGCGCGCGUAGGCGGCCGAUCAAGUCAGAGGUGAAAGCCCUCGGCUCAACCGAGGAAUUGCCUUUGAUACUGGUCGGCUGGAGUGCAGGAGAGGGUGGCGGAAUUCCCGGUGUAGGGGUGAAAUCCGUAGAGAUCGGGAGGAACACCAGUGGCGAAGGCGGCCACCUGGACUGCAACUGACGCUGAGGCGCGAAAGCAUGGGGAGCAAACAGGAUUAGAUACCCUGGUAGUCCAUGCCCUAAACGAUGGACGCUAGGUGUCGGGGGGUCACCCUCGGCGCCGGAGCUAACGCGUUAAGCGUCCCGCCUGGGGAGUACGGUCGCAAGGCUGAAACUUAAAGGAAUUGACGG